GACGAACGCUGGCGGCGUGCCUAAUACAUGCAAGUCGAACGCAGUGGGGACGGGUGAGUAACAAGUGGGUAACCUCCCAUCAGAGGGGAUAACACUUGGAAACAGGUGCUAAACCGAUACUGAUGGAUGGACCCGGGGUGCAUUCGGUAGUUGGUGGGGUAACGGCUCACAAAGGCCACGAAUCAUAGCCGGCCUGUGAGGGUGAUCGGCCACACUGGGACUGGGCCACGGCCCAUACUCCUACGGGAGGCAGCAGUAGGGAAUCUUCGGCAAUGGACGAAAGUCUGACCGAGCAACGCCGCGUGAGUGAAGAAGGUUUUCGGUUCGUAAAUCUCUGUUGUUAGAGAGGCGGUAUCUAACCAGAAAGCCACGGCUAACUACGUGCCAGCAGCCGCGGUAAUUC
rnacentral:rRNA from 1 species